AUCACAUGAUGGGGACACUUCUUUAAAAACUCCUUAAACCACUCCCAAUCAUCAUAGCAAGACACCCCAUCAUUCUGAUGGAAAUUAUUGAUUUUGGCUCUCAAAUU